ACCUACGGGGCGCAGCAGUGGGGAAUAUUGCACAAUGGGGGAAACCCUGAUGCAGCAACGCCGCGUGAGUGAAGAAGGUUUUCGGAUUGUAAAGCCCUGUCAGCAGGGAAGAAAAUGACAGUACCUGACCAAGAAGCCCCGGCUAACUACGUGCCAGCAGCCGCGGUAAUACGUAGGGGGCAAGCGUUAUCCGGAUUUACUGGGUGUAAAGGGAGCGCAGGCGGUAUGGCAAGUCAGAUGUGAAAACCCAGGGCUCAACCCUGGGACUGCAUUUGAAACUGCCAUACUGGAGUGCCGGCGAGGUA
rnacentral:rRNA from 1 species